AGUACAGAAAAGGUGAUUCAUCGAUAAUCUUUAAAUUCAAUAAAAUUGGGUUUAAUAUAUUCAUUUGGGUCUAAAAUAAAUAUAAACAGUUGAUUUCGUUAUAAUUCUUCUUUUUUCAUAUAGCCAGGGAUAAAGUACUUGAGGUGUAAUUUUGUAUAGAUAGUGUGCAAAUGAUGCCUAUUUCAGGAAAGAAUAUCUUUAAAACCCAAGAAGAUGUACAAAAACUUAAUACAUGAUUAAAGUGAAAAUGGAAGGCUUAAGAAAAAUUUACUUUAACAUUUUUGUGCGAACGAAGUAUUGAAAAGAUACAAGGUGUUUAAAAUCGAGAAUUUGUUAAGAUUCUUCAAAAGAGUUAUCUCCCUUUGCAAGUUUACAUAGGUGGCGCUAGUAAAAAUAAUGGCAGGCUCCACGGUUAGCAGUACGCUGCAAAGUUAUUUUGAUGCAUCCUGUGAUGUUUAUUGCAAAAAUAUGUGUGAAGUGACAUGAAUUGGUUGGAAGGAUUUUACAAGAACAGAUUAGGCAUAGUUUUUGGGGCGAAAGUAGGCAUGUGUCAUGUUGAUCAGUAUAUCCAUUAUUGACCAUGUUGACGCUCUCCCGAAAUGCUACUCGCCUACUGACACCAUUGUGAUCGAUCUCGGAUGUUAAACUUCUACGGUAACCAGAGUGCAAGAGUAAACUCUCAGAGAGGGGUGGCAGUCCGAUUUUUUCAGCAUACUCGACUUGGAGAGGGAAAAUGUCACAUUUGGACAGUUACAUUUCACCAGAAUGUACACGAUGGGCUGCAUCAUGGUUUUGAAGGAAAAGGUUAUACUAUUUAUUACAGACGGCAAGGAAACAUCAUUGAACACCACCAACUAAUAAGACUCUAAAGGAAUAAUGGAAAAUAGAAUAUUUAAAGCUGUCAAAAAGCAUAGAUUAGAGUUCAGUGGAUGCCGUGACGGUACUUUGGAUAAUGUUAAUCAGGCAGUGAUUCUCUUCCCAAGGAUCUUAAGUGCUUUUAGAAGAGGCUAAUAAACAAAGAACAGUCACUUACUACAGAAGAGAAGCAGGGGAGAUUAGUGAUAUUCUGUUUGGCAUGUACUGCACCUUACAAAGAUGUAAAACUUUUAAAAUUGUGUUUACAUAUACAAUGUUUAUAUUAUAAAUGUAUCUAGUAAUCAAUAUUAAUAUGAUUGAUAUUUUCAAAUGUUUUUUACAACAUUUUGCUGUUCAUUAAUGAAAAAAUAAUUUGUGUUGUAUUUGAAUUUUAAAAUGUAAAGUAAUUUAUUUUGAAAUGUAAACUGAUAUUCUUACAUGUAAACAUGUAUUGGCGUGUGUACAUGGUGUAUAUAUUUGACUCUGACAAAAGAUGAUGCUACUUCUUUUUUUGGUGAAAUUAUUAAUCACAAUGAUUUUUCUGCAAAUGAUUUUUUUUUAUUUUUGAUAGGGUAUCGUAUCUAUGAAACGUACUCAGCAUUUUUGUUUGGCUAUUUUUUAAAUCAUAGAUAUACCGGUAUAUUAUUUUCUUGAUAACUGAAAUCCUGAAAAAAUGAUAUUUUGUUGGUUUUUGUCAACAUGAAUUAUCUCCCCUUUUCAGCUUGAAAUUAGAAAUAAUACUGUACAUAGAUAUAAUUUGAUUAAUGAAAAUAAAUAAUUGUGUUGUAUUUGGAACUAUAAAGAAAUUUAAAUUAUUUAGUAAUGUUAUUUAUGUUUUAACAUGCAUGAAUAUAUACAUGUCAUUUAUUCGACUAUGACAAAAAAGUGAAUUUCCCAUUUUUUGUAUGAAACUCUUCAAUGACUUUUGGAAAUUAAUAAUCAUUUGCUCAAAAAUGUUUUUAUUAUUUUUUGCCAUAAGGUAUGAUUUCUAUGAAGUAAGUGCAGUCUUUCUGUUUGGCAGUAUUGUAUUUUUUCUUUAGAUUUUUUAUCAUAUAGCUGAAUUUAGCUGUAAAUCCUUUUAAAAUUGAAAAUUUCAGUUUUUCUCAACAUGGAUUAUCUCCCCUUUUCAGCUUAAAAUUAAAAACUACUACUGGACGUGGUAAUAUUUGGAUUAAUUAUGAAAAGUAAAUAAUUUAAUUGUAUUUGAAAUUGGUAAUAUAAAAAAAAUGGUUUUGAAAUGCCAUUUAUUUUUUAAAUGCCAACAUAUAUGGCAUAUAUUGGACUGUGACAAAAAGGUGAAAUUACCAUUUUUUGUACAAAAUUCAUCAGUUAUUUUGGGAAAUUAAUAAUCAUUUGGACAAAAAUGUUUUUAUUAUUUUAUUUGCUUUAGAGUAUAGUGUCUAUGAAACUACCAU